GACGAACGCUGGCGGCGUGCCUAAUACAUGCAAGUAGGACGCAGUUGCGAACGGGUGAGUAACGCGUAGGUAACUGCCUAUUAGAGGGGGAUAACUAUUGGAAACGAUAGCUAAUACCGCAUACUAGUAGAUGGACCUGCGUUGUAUUAGCUAGUAGGUAGGGUAAUGGCCUACCUAGGCAACGAUACAUAGCCGGCCUGAGAGGGUGAUCGGCCAACCUGGGACUGGGGCACGGGCCAGAAUCCUACGGGAGGCAGCAGUAGGGAAUCUUCGGCAAAUGGGGGAACCCUGACCGAGCAACGCCGCGUGGUUGAAGAAGGUUUUCGGAUCUUAAAGCUCUGUUGUUAAGGAAGCGUUACUUAACCAGAAAGGGACGGCUAACUACGUGCCAGCAGCCGCGGUAAUAC
rnacentral:rRNA from 1 species